rnacentral:rRNA from 1 species
ACCGAAUAGAUACCCUGGUAGUCCUAGCCCUAAACGAUGAUCGCUUGGUGUGACGGGUACCCAAUCCCGUCGUGCCGCAGCUAAACGCGUUAAGCGAUCCGCCUGGGGUAGUACGGUCGCAAGGCUGAAACCUCAAAGGAAUUGACGGGGGUCCCGCACAAGCGGUGGAGCAUGUGGUUUAACUUCGACGCAACGCGAAGAACCCUUACCUGGGCUCGAAACUGUAGUGGACCGGAGUAGAAACUAUUCCUUCCCCGGCAAGGGGUCUGCUAUAUAGGUGCUGCAUGGCUGUCGUCAGCUCGUGUCGUGAGAUGUUGGG